GAGCAGAGGAGGAGAAAUUGCUGGAAGCCCUGUUUCUUAAAUCAGAAAACCCCAGAACUCAGCUUAAUAUUGACAUGACAGCCUUAAACAGAAAACUUAAGUGAAAGCUGAGGCUUUCUCCAACUGUGAAAAUGGGAUAACUAUCCUCAACAUCACAAUACCCUUAAUAACCAGGACCAGUUUGAAUUACAUCCCAGUGGGCCUUCUUAUUGAUACUUCCCAGCAGGAGUUUCAGUCUGAUAAAUAGGUCAGGAUCCAG
rnacentral:lncRNA from 1 species